UACGUAGGGUGCAAGCGUUGUCCGGAAUUAUUGGGCGUAAAGAGCUCGUAGGCGGUCUGUCGCGUCGGCUGUGAAAUCCCGAGGCUCAACCUCGGGUCUGCAGUCGAUACGGGCAAACUAGAGUAUUGCAGGGGAGACUGGAAUUCCUGGUGUAGCGGUGAAAUGCGCAGAUAUCAGGAAGAACACCGGUGGCGAAGGCGGGUCUCUGGGCAAUAACUGACGCUGAGGAGCGAAAGCGUGGGGAGCGAACAGG
rnacentral:rRNA from 1 species